AGGAGCAACAGCCCCAGUGGCGGGGCAGCUCUGGAAACCUGGAUUCAGCUCCGGCAGGAACUCCGUCUGCAGGGCCUGGAGGCUCCGGGCGGGG
rfam:Canis lupus familiaris chromosome 9, whole genome shotgun sequence.